rnacentral:tRNA from 1 species
CCCCCUGUGGCUCAGUUGGUAGAGCAUGGUGUGUGCAAUGCCAGGGUUGUGGGUUUGAUUCCCACGGGGGGC